AUUGAACGCUGGCGGCAGGCCUAACACAUGCAAGUCGAGCGAGCGGCGGACGGGUGAGUAAUGUCUGGGAAACUGCCUGAUGGAGGGGGAUAACUACUGGAAACGGUAGCUAAUACCGCAUAGCAUCAGAUGUGCCCAGAUGGGAUUAGCUGGUAGGUGGGGUAACGGCUCACCUAGGCGACGAUCCCUAGCUGGUCUGAGAGGAUGACCAGCCCUACUGGAACGGGGACACGGUCCAAACUCCUACGGGAGGCAGCAGUGUGGAAUAUUGCAAGAUGGGCGCAAGCCUGAUGCAGCCAUGCCGGGUGUGGGAAGAAGGCCUUCGGGUUGUAAGGAACUUUCAUCGGGGAGGCGUUACCCGCAGAUGAAGCACCGGCUACCUCCGUGCCAGCGGCCGCGGUAAUU
rnacentral:rRNA from 1 species